AAAGGAAUAGACGGGGACCCGCACAAGCGGUGGAGUAUGUGGUUUAAUUCGACGCAACGCGAAGAACCUUACCAACCUUUGACAUGGGAAGUAUGAGUCUAGGAGACUAGAUUCUUCAGUUCGGCUGGCUUCCACACAGGUGCUGCAUGGCUGUCGUCAGCUCGUGUCGUGAGAUGUUGGGUUAAGUCCCGCAACGAGCGCAACCCUCAUCUUCAGUUACCAUCAGGUUAUGCUGGGUACUCUGGAGAAACCGCCGGUGAUAAGCCGGAGGAAGGCGGGGAUGACGUCAAGUCCUCAUGGUCCUUACAGGUUGGGCUACACACGUACUACAAUGGUGGUGACAAUGGGAAGCAAAAUCGCAAGGUGGAGCCAAUCCUAAAAAACCAUCUCAGUUCAGAUUGCACUCUGCAACUCGAGUGCAUGAAGUUGGAAUCGCUAGUAAUCGCAGAUCAGAACGCUGCGGUGAAUACGUUCCCGGGUCUUGCACACACCGCCCGU
rnacentral:rRNA from 1 species